rnacentral:lncRNA from 10 species
AUGGUUUUAAAAACAGAAGUCUCCCUCACAAGCUCUCUUCUCUUAUCUGCUGCCAUGUGAGACGUGUCUUUUACCUUCUGCCAUUAUUGUGAGGUCUUCCCAGCCACGUGGAACUGUCAUCAGCAACUGAGGCCUCAGUACAGCCAGCAAGGAAGUGAAUCUUGUUAACAGUCAUGUGAAUCAGAGGUGAAGAAAAGAAGUCUUCCAGGAAAGAUACUUAUGUACAGCUAAGUCAUAUGGAAAUAGUACCCUUUGGUUCUCUCUCUUCCCUUUUUUUACUUAUCUGAAAUGAAAAUAUGAGGACUGAACUUCGACUCUAUCUUGGGUGACAAGAAGAACUGAAGUAGGAAGGAAUCCUAUGCUAAGGAUGAGAGAGAAAUAAGACAGCCCACACUCCACUCCCUUCCCCCAACACCAAAUGUGAGCCUAUCAUUCAACCCACAGAAGACUUUUUAUAAAUGAGAGAGAAAUGAAUCUCUAAUGUGUUCUUGCAGCUUAUUUGCUUUUUUAUUUUAGGAAUUGAAUCUUAUUCUAAACUGAUACAGUGUCUCUAUUUACUUUGCUUUGGUGUCCUAAGUAGAAACUAUAAAUACUAUUUAGACUUAUUGCAAUAGGCAAAGGGCAUAUUUUAAAUCAUAUUAUGGAUAUCUGCAACUGUGUAUCUUUUAGUUUUACAGCAUGUAUUGUCAUAGUUAUUAUUGUAAUCAUAAUGCACUGAAACUUUACAUCAUUUUCAACCAUAUACUAAUAGCGAAAUAACAUAAAUAUGUUAUUUUCUCUUUCUCUGCUCCUCUCCGUAUCUAUGUAUUUACUUCCUUUAUAUUAUUCUUAACUUCUUAGGUGAGGAACAAUGCUUUAAAUGACCAUGGACUUCUUAUCAGACAUUUAUGACAGCCAGAAGACCAUGGAACAGCAUCUCAAAAGUACUAAAGGAGAGCCACAAAACCAGAAUUCUAUAUCUAGCAAAAAUAUAUUUCAGAAAUGAAGACAAAAUAAGAAAAUUAUCAGGUGAAGGUAAACCAGAAAUAUUUACUGUUGACAUAUCUAAAAGAAAUGUUAAAAGAAGUUUUUUAGGCUAGAGGGAAAUAACUAACACCAGGGGGAAAUAUGAACCUUCAGGAAUAAAGAAAGAACAACAUAAAUGGUAAAUAUCUAGAUAAACAUAAAAGAUAAUUUUUCUACUUUUAGUUUUUAAAAAAUAUGUAUAACUCUUGAAAGAAAACAUUCUUAUCUGGUGGAGUUUUCAAUGUACAUGAAUGUAAUAUAUAUGACAACUAUAACAUAGAAGCCACUAGGGGAUAGUAAAAUGAUGUAUGGGACUAUAAGUAUUUUACAUCUUACUUGAAAUAUUAAGUUAUUAACUCAAGAAAGUGUGAUAAUUUAGGCACAUAUAUUGCAAUCCCUAGGAAAAAAUACAAAAAUAUAAAAAGGUUACAGAUAGGAAGCCCACAAAUUAAACAGUAUACUAAAUACUUACAAAAAAAGGAGAAAAUGAGAAGUAGAGGCACAAAGUAAGAAUAUGCACUAUAUAGAAUAUACUAUUUGAAGUACUAGCCCAUAAGUUCUAGCCCAUAAAAUUAAGUCCGUGAUGUGAGAAAAUUUUGGCUUAAGAGAAAAUGGAGUAAGCCACAGAGUAGAAGAUUCAGUGCAGAUGAGUGAACCCUUAAAAUGAUGUAGAAGAGAGAAGCUGAAUUGGGUAGACAGUAAAUUACAAUGAACAAAUAGAAUACUGCCUUUGUUUACUAUCAUUCAAAGUAUUAUAUGUUACAUAGUAUUACUUGAAAAUGCUAUGAACCAUGGAAGUGGAUUUUUCCAAAUCAUAGAAUUCACUAAUCUAACAAUUAUGGCAUUUAUAAAUACUAUUGAUAAUAUUAGUAAACAUUUUUAAUACAGUUUUUAUCAUAUAAACAUUUUGGUACAUGUUAUUUCUUUUAAGUGCCAAUAGUUUUUGUAUUUUAACUGCAUAUGGCAAAGUAUUUUCCUAAAAUAUUAGAACAUUUAUCAAUGGUGCAUACUUUACCUCUUCGUAAAGUUAAGUUAAUGCUCUAAUUUUUAAAAAUGUUCCCAUUAGGGCACCAAUUGUAGGAUGGAGUGGAAUAAAAUGAUAAUCUCAGAAACUUUUGCCUCUAUACUUUGUCUCCUUCCUAUGUGUCUGCCUCCAGCGACUGUAGGCCAUUUGAAGAUUACUAUUGCUGCUAUUCUGGUUACCUAGAAAAUGAGACAGAUUAUAAGGCCUAUGAAAAGACUUAACUUUGUUUAUGUAGAAUUUUCAUUAAAUUUGCUAAAGGGAAGUGCCUAAGGAGGUUUCCUGUCUUUAGCAAAUAUAUUUAUUGGUGACCAGAUCCUUUUUUGCCUUACCUUCACAGUUAUUUCUCUAACAUCUGAGGUUUUGGUAGUCUGAUUUUUAGCUAAGUAUGAUAUUUAAUUCAAUUAAAAGUCUAUAUUCAUUAAAGAAGGCUUACAUUAAGAAGAAUGAAGUUCUAAUUUAUUUUCAUCCAUCUAUAUAUAUUAUUGUUGUGUUAUAUAACUAAAAUCUUACUAUUAUAGAUUUUUUUUCUUCUAGCUUAAAAGUUCCAAGUGUUCUAUCUUAGUAAUAUGAUUUAUUCUGGAGGAGAGGGAUGUUGUAACAAAUACUUUCCAGUACAAACUAAGAUAUUUGCAUUUUCAAGUUUUGUAUUAGAAGCAGUUUUGAGUCUUAGUAGUCUUAUAAAAUUAUGAUUAAGUGACCAACAAGUAUAAAUUUUGAGUCACAGAUAUUUAAUUACAGUCGAGUUAAAAGAAGAAAGAAAAUGAAAUAAUUGGAAAAAGAUCUUUCACAGGAAGAAUGUCUUAUUGUUAGUACGGAAGAGAAAUAAAAUGAGAAAGAGAGGAAGGGAGGAAGAAGCUAGAUAUUUAUUUAUUUACGUAUUUAUUUAUUUAGAGAUGGAGUCUCGCUCUGUUACCCAGGAUGGAGUGCAAUGGUGCAAUCUCAGCUCACUGCAUCCUCCGCCUCCCAGGUUGAAGCAAUUCUCCUGCCUCAGCUUCCCAAAUACCUGGGAUUACAAGCAUACGCCUCCACGUCCGGCUAAUUUUUUGUGUUUUUAGAAGAGGCAGGGUUUCAUCAUGUUGGCCAGGCUAGUCACGAACUCCUGACCUCAAGUGAUCUGCCUGCCUCAGCCUCCCAAAGUGCUGGGCUUACAGGCAUGAGCCACUGCACCGGGCCUGAUUUCUUUUUUGUGUGUGUGAAAGUAGGAAUGGAGAGCAAUCACCAAGAAAUCCGAAAUGACAUCCAGACAGCAAGUAAUGCCAACUCUGACAAACCACUGCUGUGAUCAGAGUUUGCACCUCUUUAAGAUUUCAGAUGUUGAUUCUUUCUUCAUGCAUAUUCCCAUUAGAACAUUUAUCACUGAUACAUAUUUCCUAAUAGCUAAAAGUUUACUCAUUACCAGAGAUUGAUGGAGAAAACAAUGUUACAAUUAAGAAAAGAUCUUGGACCUGUCAUAAGAAAAGAGACACCAUUUGGAAUAAGAAGACCAAGAAUAUGCCAUUUACUGCCUUCAAGAGCCUUGAGAAACUGCAUAAAGCAGUCUUAGGAGGAUGAAUUCAAAUAAUGGCAAUAUUGCAUAAUAAUGUUAUUUUUAAAAGAUUAAAAGAAAUUCUGCCUACUGCAUCAUUUAUUAUUAAACUGUAUAUUAAGACUUUCUAAAUUUGCUUCCCUAAGAUAGAGUGAUAUUCAAUCAUUUUUGCUUUAAUGAAUAAAGUCCAUCUUUAAUAAGUAAUUGCAAGUGGGAGAGAAUCGGGCCUUUUUAGGUCAAAUAUACUUGAGACAUGAGGGUUCACAAAAUCUGACUAUGGAGAAUUUGCAUGAUAGGGUUCACUGUGCAACAGAAAGCAGAAGUUUCUAUCAAUGGAUAAAAUGAAAAGCAAGAUUGUGUCACAGAUUUUUUGUUUCUUUGCUGCUAUAUAAUGCCAUACUCCCCUCUGACCCUCUUCCAAAGUAUCCCCAGGGUAGACUAUACUAACGAGAUCCUUUUUCAGCAAAAGAAAGUCAGGCACUAUUCACAAUAGCAAAGACUUGGAACCAACACAAAUGUCCAAAAAUGAUAGACUGGAUUAAGAAAAUGUGGCACAUAUACACCAUGGAAUACUAUGCAGCCAUAAAAAAUGAUGAGUUCAUGUCCUUUGUAGGGACAUGGAUGAAGCUGGAAACUAUCAUUCUCAGCAAAUUAUCGCAAGGACAAAAAACCAAACACCGCAUUUUCUCACUCAUAGGUGAGAAUUGAACAAUGAGAACACAUGGACACAGGAAGGGGAACAUCACACACCGGGCCUGCUGUGGGGUGGGGGGAGGGGGGAGGGAUAGCAUUAGGAGAUAUAACUAAUGCUAAAUGAUGAGUUAAUGGGUGCAGCACACCAGCAUGGCACAUGUAUACAUAUGUAACAAACCUGCACAUUGUGCACAUGUAUCCUAAAACUUAGAGUAUAAUAAUAAUAAUAAAAGAAAGGAACAGAAAUGUUUAAACCUCCCCCUUGACUAGAAGUAAUUAAGUAACUAAAUUACAAAUACACACACUUACAUCUGGGGAGGUUAAACUGAUUUUAUGAAUUGUAUAAAUGACAAGGAUUCAUACUCUGGCUUUUCAGGUUUUCUUUUUUUUUUAUAAGAAAGCCCAUCAUUUAACAGUAAAUAGAGGUUUUCUAGUGUGUCAAAUGGGGAUAUGGUCAGAUUAAUGGCGAAUUCAAUGCUAUGCAUGUUUUUACCCUAUCUCUUUUUAUUUUUGCAAGAUGUGGACACCUUUUAAAUGCAUUAGUUUCUUCCUGCAUUGUACAAAGCAAAUAAAUAGGUUCUUUAAAUUCCAACCAGUCAAUAAUUGAAAUAUAUGCACAAAAAGUAUAUGUAUAAAAACACAUGUAAACUGAUCAAGUGUCCUAAAAACACAUUUAAAAUAAAAAUACAAAGUUAGAAGUUUAGCACUUAACUGAAUAUAUGUUAAUAUGCAUUAUAAAAAUAGUAAACUCAUAUAACAGAGAUAGUAUAGCUUGAAAAUUAAGGACUAAAGUCAGAAUGCUCUUUUUCAGCUCCCCAAUACUCCUAUUUAUUUGCAAUGUAACUUUUGAUAAACUUCUCAAACUCUUUAAAACUUAGGUUCCUCAACUGCAAAAUGGAAGGAAACUAAUCACUAACUCAAACAUUUGUUUUAGUGAUUAAAUAAAAUAUAGUAAAAAGUUUUUAGUAGAAUACUCAGGAUAUAAAAUUCUAUAAAUAAUUACCAAAUAGAAUUUGGUUGCGAAAUGGUCACAAAGAUAAUUGCAGAGAAUACUGGAAAAAUAAUUGACAAAAAUUUAUAUAUUAUUUAAAAGAUUGAAGUUUACAAUGCAUGCAGAAAAAUGCAUAAAGUCAUUAUAAAAUUGAGGUGUUAAUGUGAUUUUUACUACACAAGUUGGAAUAACUGCAUAAUUUCAAAUAUAAUAAAUUGUUAGUCAUCAAUUUGAAAAGAUUUUAUGAAAAAAGCCAUGAUUUUAUGACACAGAAUCUAUAUGUUGUAUAGAAAGCAUGAAUUAUAUUUCAUUUUAGUUAUGGUCUCUCUUUUCUUGAUAUAAUUAACAUUUAAAAUAUGUUUUCAAGGGUAUAUUGUUCAAUGUCACUAUAAAUAAUUUAUGUUAAUAGAAAAGCAGAAAUUAAAAAUGUGAUAGCCAAUAUUUUGGGUACAGCAACUUUCAUGACAAUCAUUUCUUUUGAAUAUAUCUGCUAUAAAUACAAAUUGAUACAAAGUAAGCAUGAUAAACUGUCAUGAAUUUUAAACUAUUUAAUUAUCAUCAUUAUAAUUGCCAUGAAUUAUUGUACACUCACCAUUUACCGAGAAUUUCUGUGUUAUUUUUUACUUUGUGUGUUUUUUAUUGUGUAUAUUUAAGGUGUACAACAUGAUGUUUUGAUAUGCAAGUAGAUAAUGAAAUGAUUACUAUAGGUAAACACAUUCACACAUCCAUCACCUUCCAUAGUAAUGUCUCAUUGUACAUGUGUGCACGUGUGUCUGUGUGUUAACAGUACCUAAAAUCUACAUUUUAUCAAAUUUUCAGUAUAAAAUACAAUAUGAUGCAAUAUUCUUUAUACAUUACGUAAAAAUGUAGACCAAGGGUAGAUUCACAAAUUAUGCAUCUGACAAAGGUUUAAUAUCUAGAAUCUAUAAGGAGCUUAAACAAUUGAACAAGCAAAAUACAAAUAACCCCAUUAAAAAUGGGCACUUCUCAAAAGACACUUCUGAAAAGAAGACAUACAAGUGGCCAAGAAACAUAUGAAACAAUGCUCCACAUCACUAAUCAUCAGAGAAAUGCAAAUCAAAACCACAAUGAAAUACCAUCCCAUUUUCUGUUACUAUUAGAAAAUAAAAAAUAACAGAUGCUGGUGAGGCUUUGGAUAAAAGGGAAAGCUUAUAUACUGUUGUUGGGAAUAUAAAUUAGUUCAGUCCCUGUGGAAGGCAGUUUGGAGAUUUCUCAAAGAACUUAAAACAGAACUACCAUUUCACCCAGCCAUCCCACUCCUGGGUUUAUAUACCCAAAGGAAAAAAAAAAUUUAUCAAAAAGACACAUGUAUUUGUAUGUUAAUUGCAGAGCUAUUCACAAUAAUAAAGACAUGGAAUCAACCAAGGUGCCCAUCAAUGGUGGAUUGGAUAAAGAAAAUAUGGUACAUAUAUACCAUGGAAUAAUACACAGCCAUAAAAAGGAAAAAAAUUAUGUCAUUUGCAGCAACAUGGAUGGAACUGGAGGACACUGUCCUAAGCAAAUUAAUGCAGGAACAAGAAAGAAAUAUAGCAUGUUCUCACAUGUAAGUGGGAGUUAAGCCUUGGGGACUGAUGAAUAUAAAGAUGUUAGCAGUAUAGACUGGGGGAUACUACACAGGGAAAUGAUGAAGCGGGGCAUGGACUGAAAAACUACCUAUUGGGUACUAUGCUGACCAUCUGGGUGAUGGAACCAUCCAUAUCACAAACCUCAGCAUCAUGCAAUAUACUCAUGCAGCAACCCUGAAAAUUUAACCCCUGAAUCCAAAAUGAAAAAUAAAUAUAUAUAUAUUUGUACUUAUUAUAAGUGAAAAUAUACUUAAUAUUUUCAGAUCAUUUAUUGGUUGUAUUUAUAAGUAAAAUUGACUUUUGUACAUUGAAAAAAAAGAAAAUGUGGUCUAUAUACAACAUGGUAUACUAUGCAGCCAUUAAAAAAACCUUGUUAUUUGCAGUGACAUGAAUGAAAUUAGAGGCCAUUAUCAUAAGAUAAUUAAAGCACAAAUAGAAAACCAAAUACCACAUAUUCUCACUUAUAAGUGGGAGCUAAAUAUUGAGUUCUCAUGGGCAUAAAGAGGACCAUAGUAGAAACUGGGGACUACUAGAGGAGGAAGAGAGAAAGGGGGAACAAGUGUUGAAAAGCUACCUACUGGGUGAUAAGAUCAUUGGUACCCAAGCCUCAGCAUCAUGCAAUACACCCAGGUAACAAACGUGCACAUGUACCCGCUGAAGCUGAAAUAAAAGUUGAAAGAAAAACGCAGAUAAAAAAAUGUCCUUUUUCUCUUUAUAUAUAUAUAUUUUUAUUAUACUUUGAGUUCUAGGGUACAUGUGCACAACGUGCAGGUUUGUUACAUAUGUAUACAUGUGCCAUGUCGGUGUGCUGCACCCAUUAACUCGUCAUUUACAUUAGGUAUAUCUCCUAAUGCUAUCCUUCCCCUCUCCCCACACCCCACAACAGGCCCCGGUGUGUGAUGUUCCCCUUCCUGCGUCCAAGUGUUAUCAUUGUUCAAUUCCCACCUAUGAGUCAGAACAUGCGGUGUUUGGUUUUUUGUCCUUGCAAUAGUUUGCUGAGGAUGAUGGUUUCCAGCUUCAUCCAUGUCCCUUAAAGCAGAUUAAUGUAUAAAACAGUCUUCGAACUAACUUGGACUUACAAAUUUGCACAUUUUCUUUUAAGAGCAUUUCAUAUUUUCUACUUUACUUCCGAAUUUUCAAGCUGAGAAAUUUUGUUUAUAAUUUUAUUUUCUGUGGAUUUUAUAAGGCACUACAAGAUCACUGUAGAUUAAAAAUUAAAUAGUAAACAGUCCCUAACUUCAAGUUGUUCAUAAUUUAUCACAGGCACUGAGGUGGAUGCCUAAAUGGCAUACUCAUAUACAGGAGAGAGGUCAGAGGCCAGUCUAGCAACUGAAUUUUGUGGAUUUGUCAGUAAGAAUUAGAAAAGUAGUUGUGAUGUUCAUGACAAUAGGGUGAAAGAAAGAUGUAAAAGAUGUCAUGUGAAGACUGAAAAGUAUUUUCCUUUUUGAGUUAGACACAAUAGUAUGUAGUCUUUUUCAGUCUGUUUUAAAGCCCUUAGGCAUGAACAGUAAUGUAUUCAGGAUCUGUGGAACAGGUAACAUAGUGAACUGCCAGAGCGAGGAGAACCAAGAAGUGGAAAAGAGCAGUGAACUAAGUAAAUCCUUAGAUCUAUGUCAUCUCAAAUUGGCAAAUUUGCUGAUAUUGUGAUUGACUUAAGUAUCAAUAAUAUCAACAAAAAUAUUGGUAGUUCAUCUAAAUUUUAAAAUUCAGGUUUUUCUGUUGUUUUCUUUAAAUAUCUAAGUCAGUUCCCCACUUACUGCCCAUGGCAAUUCAAAUUCCCUGAUUAACACUGGAGCUUUUUGCAAGAUUUGAAAAUCUUUCUCAAGAUCAUAGUUUAUUCAACCUUUGUUUUGAAUUUUUCAAGUAAUUCAAACCUCACAACCAUAUUAUGCUAUUAUUAAUAACCAUUUUAAAGAAACUGAGGAAGGGAUAUUGAAAUAGCUUCUCAGAUCUAUCCAACUAUUAAUAUUAAGUAAUGUGAAAAAGAAUAAAACCCAGAAUGUCUAAAUUAUUUAAUAUCUAUUUUUAAAAUAAAGUCCUGAGUUAUUCCAGAAUAAAUUAUUUAACCUAGUCCUAAGAUUAAAAUUUUUGUUUUGAAAUCUCACAUAUUUGAAGGACACGUGACUUUUUUACACCACAUUGUCUGAAUUAAUUAGCAAAGGUAUUGCAAGCAAACCAACAGCAUAAUAGUGAACACUUCCUCAUAUCUUAAAAAAUCAAAUUCUAUAGACUUUCUAAACUAUGAAAAAUUUACAUUUGUCAUUCAACAAACUUAUUCUGUGUCAGUACCUGUUUCAUCCAUUUAGAUGCAACAGUGUAUGAAAACAGACAAAGAUUUCUGUUCUUAAAAGUUUACAAAGAGGAGAGCCUGCCAAUAUAAAAAUGAAUAUAUAAAUUUUGAAGUAUGCAAGAAAUUAAUCAAUACUAUAAAGAAAUAGUAGAGCAAGGAAAGCAUUUUUAAUACUAUCUAGAAUUUUCAAAUCUUCUUAUGGUUUAAAGUAUAGUCAUGAUACUCUCUUGGGUAAAGUGAGUAGGGCUGGUAGGUGCCUGCAUGUAUGCAUGUGUGUGUGUGAAUAACUGUGUAUUGCUAUUUAGAAGAGUUAGGGUGGUCAAACUCUAAAAAGAUUCACAUUGAAAUAGUCAUCUUCUAAAAGGUCACAUGAUAUGUUACCUUAGCUAUUUUUUUUAUACUUGAAAUACCUUGGGCAGUAACAACUCUUCCCAAAUUUGAUUUAAAUGAUAAAAAGAAAGAUCAGUGAAUGACUAUAGUUAUAAAAAAUGUCUAUAACAACUGUCAGCAAUCUCCAGCAAUUUAUGGUACUCUUUGUAAGCGAAAUGACUUUAUUAUAGAGCAAGAGUGGAGCCUUUUCACUUUCAAAGUUACCUACAUCUAGCUGCAAUUGUUGGUAGGAUUAAGCCUCAUCAAAAAUAAAAUUGGGAGUAAGGAAAAAUCCUAGAAAUCAAAGUUGCAAAAAAGACUAGAAUAGAAAACUGAUCACACUUUGGAAGUUACUCUGACUAAACACUGAAAAACAAAAUGCCUUUUUAAUACUUAUUAUUAUCAUUAACUUUGGAAAGAGAAAGGAUCCUAAGUUAAUUUAACCGUUAGUCAAUUUUACAUGAAUACAUAAUACCCUAAAUAAAUAUCUUGUUCAUUAGGUAAGCAUAUAGUUUUAUGAUAAAAUUUAAAAUCUAUGCUUCUAUUAUGAUUCAAAUUUACACAAAUUUAUUUGGAAGACACAGUCAUAUUAUUUUUAUUUUCUAUAAAAGUUUUGGAAAAAAAUACACUAAAGAAAUACUGCAUUGUAAAAACCACUCUUGCCAUUAGAGAACAUGUAAGUGUUCUUUCAUGUAUAAGUAAUAAAGAAUCAACAUUUGCUGCUUUUGGAAACAAAAUGAAACAAGAGAGGAAAUAUGUCUAGCUUUUAGGGCAAUUUGGUAAUAUUUGAGAAACACAGCCUGACAACUCAAAGGGUAUUUUUUAAUGUUUAUGUAAAUGUAUACAUAUGCAUACAUGUGUACAUAUAAGUAUAUAUAUCCAACAUAUAAACAUGUAUGUAUGUAUACAUAUAUAGAUAUGUACACAUAUACAUAUGUAUGUAUACAUAUAUAGAUAUGUACACAUAUACGUAUGUAUACAUAUAUAGAUAUGUACACAAAUACAUAUGUAUGUAUACAUAUAUAGAUAUGUACACAUAUACAUAUGUAUGUAUACAUAUAUAGAUAUGUA